rnacentral:tRNA from 1 species
UAAAAAUUAGUUAAACAAAUAACAUAAGCUUGUCAAGCUUAAAUUAUCUCUUUCAGAUAUUUUUAA